rnacentral:lncRNA from 1 species
GGAUACAUCUGCAUUCACUUGAACAGAGUGGAUUUCAUUGUAGGACAGAUUCAGGAAUCACGCCCAAGACAAGAAAUGCACUACACAGUUCACCAGGCUAACUUCUUGCAGGCAGCUGUUUCACAGAAUCACAGAAUGGUUGAGGUUGGAAGGGACCUCUGGAGAUCAUCUAGUCCAACCCCCCUGCUCAAGCAGGGUCACCUGGAGGACAUUGACAGGAUCGCGUCCAGGCGAGUUUUGAAUAUCUCCAGAGAAGGAGACUCCACAACCUCUCUGGGCAACCUGUUCCAGUGCUCUGUCACCCUCACAGUGAAGAAGUUUUUCCUCAUGUUCACAUGGAAUUGUCUGUGUUUCAGUUUGUGCCCGUUGCCUCUUGUCCUUGUAAUGGCACUUUUGACAUAAACAAUAGAGCUUCCUUGCAAAGUGGGGGAACUGAGAAGUAGUGGUUUGAUAGGAAAUGAAGAGUAGGGCUGGAAUAAAUGUUUGCCAGAGGACA